UGGGGAAUAUUGCACAAUGGGCGCAAGCCUGAUGCAGCCAUGCCGCGUGUGUGAAGAAGGCCUUCGGGUUGUAAAGCACUUUCAGCGAGGAGGAAGGUGGUGAGCUUAAUACGCUCAUCAAUCGACGUUACUCGCAGAAGAAGCACCGGCUAACUCCGUGCCAGCAGCCGCGGUAAUACGGAGGGUGCAAGCGUUAAUCGGAAUUACUGGGCGUAAAGCGCACGCAGGCGGUUUGUUAAGUCAGAUGUGAAAAUCCCCGGGCUCAACCUGGGAACUGCAUUUGAAACUGGCAAGCUAGAGUCUCGUAGAGGGGGGUAGAAUUCCAGGUGUAGCGGUGAAAUGCGUAGAGAUCUGGAGGAAUACCGGUGGCGAAGGCGGCCCCCCUGGACGAAGACUGACGCUCAGGUGCGAAAAGCGUGGGGAGCAAAACAGGAUUAGAUACCCUGGUAGUCCACGCUGUAAAACGAUGUCGAUUUGGAGGUUGUGCCCUUGAGGCGUGGCUUCCGGAGCUAACGCGUUAAAUCGACCGCCUGGGGAGUACGGCCGC
rnacentral:rRNA from 1 species